AAACCAUGUUGUGGGCAUAAUUGACAAGAUCCUUAAACUGCUCCCAACAUUGGAAGAAUGUUUCAUCUCCCUUUUGUAAGAAGUUCACGAUUGAUUUUCUAAGGGU